UGCGUUUGCGCCGGCGGUGGCGUUGAGGCUAAGCUGCGACGCCGACCCGACGAGCCGUCCUGGCCGACGGCCCGACGGCGCAGCUCUUGCUCCGUGGCCCCAUCGCCUGCGCCCGCUCCCCGUCUUCCAGCCCGAACUCGCACGCCCGGUCCUCGUCGAUCCGCCCGAUGGCCACGCUCUGGCUCCGCGGCCCGACGCCGCCGGGCGCCCUGGGCGGGCCAGCGCG
rnacentral:lncRNA from 1 species